ensembl:rRNA 5S_rRNA 5S ribosomal RNA
GAUGACGGAUAUGCCACUCUAAACACGCCCGAUCUCGUCUGAACUCGGAAGCAAAGCAGAGUCGGGUCCGGUUAGUACUUGGAUGGGAGAAAACCUGGGAAUAACAGGUGCUGUAAGCA